GAUGAACGCUGGCGGCGUGCCUAAUACAUGCAAGUCGAGCGAACAGACGAGGAGCUUGCUCCUCUGACGUUAGCGGUGGACGGGUGAGUAACACGUGGAUAACCUACCUAUAAGACUGGGAUAACUUCGGGAAACCGGAGCUAAUACCGGAUAACAUGUUGAACCGCAUGGUUCAACAGUGAAAGACGGUCUUGCUGUCACUUAUAGAUGGAUCCGCGCCGCAUUAGCUAGUUGGUAAGGUAACGGCUUACCAAGGCAACGAUGCGUAGCCGACCUGAGAGGGUGAUCGGCCACACUGGAACUGAGGCACGGUCCAGACUCCUACGGGAGGCAGCAGUAGGGAAUCUUCCGCAAAGGGCGAAAGCCUGACGGAGCAACGCCGCGUGAGUGAAGAAGGUCUUCGGAUCGUAAAACUCUGUUAUUAGGGAAGAACAAAUGUGUAAGUAACUAUGCACGUCUUGACGGUACCUAAUCAGAAAGCCACGGCUAACUACGUG
rnacentral:rRNA from 1 species